GCCUCCCGGUACCUCGGGGGCCGCCUGCACCCGGCUGGGGGCCGCCCGUCCUUACUCCUACUCGAAGUUCUGCCGAUACCUCCUCAGAUCCUGUAACAAAAUACUCUUCUGCUGGAUCAACAGCAAUUGCUUUGACUGGAGAAUCAUGACUCUGAAGUAAUUGUUGCUGCUGUCUUUGGCGAAGAUCAAUUAUACAGAUGAUAAAGAUGAUGUAACUGUACUACCAUGCUUGCAACCAAGCUCACCUCCUCCACUUUUUAACGCUUAAAUGGCUAAACAGAAGAAGAAAAGAUGACUUCCUGGUUGUCUUUGACAGAGACGGAAAAACAGUACUAUGGACAA